CAACUAUGACCGGGCUGUCAUCAAUACCGUUCCUUAUGAUGUCGUCCAUCGCUGGUAUACAGCACACCGGACUCUAACGAUAGAGUUGAGGAGACCUGAGAAUGAGUUUUGGGUCAAACUAAAGCCUGGCAGGGUGGGUCCUAAUCUCUAAAGAUGUCAAGCAAGCUUGUAAUACUGAAGCAGUGAAGAACGGGUACUUACUUAAUAUGUCCUAUUUAUAGACAACUGGCGUGUCCUACAUGGCAGGGAAUGCUUCACUGGCUACCGCCAACUGUGUGGCUGCUAUUUAACAAGAGAUGAUGUAUUAAACACUGCUCGCCUCUUGGGGCUUCAGGCUUAAAAUUGACAGCAUCUGGAUUAUGAAUACACCUGGCACCCUGGCUACCAGAAUUUCAUAUGGGCAGAAUAAUAUUGUGUCAAACUCUA
ensembl:lncRNA novel transcript